GCCCAGGUUACAGUGAGUUACGAUCAUGUCACUGCACUCUAGCCUGGGUGCCAGAGCAAGAUUCUGUUUCUAAAAAAUAAAUAAAUUCCAAAUAACAUAAAACACUAACAUUAAAGAAACAUUAAACAUUUAAUGUUAAAAUAACAUUAAAGAAAGGCAUGACAUUUUUAUGUUUAUCUAAGGGCACGGAUUGAAAACUUGACAAACAUGAAUACAGGACCUAGAGAUCAGAAGUCAGAAAGAAAUAAGGAGAUGAAAUGGAUCUGUUUUAGAGAGCUGCUCUCUUUCUACUUCAACCAACUCAGAGAUAUCCAUCUAUUUACUUGUAUAAAGUGUUAAGGGAAGAAACAGAUUUAGGGCUCAGAAUUAUAGAAAAGCCCUUCCUUUAUUAGGGUGUAUAAAAACUUUGAUUUCUUUUUGAAUUUUCCUGAGUUCAGUGGCACACUGGUAAUCUCUAGUACACAUGAUCUGUGGCUGUUAGAACAAAAUUCCCCAAUACGUUAACACUGCAGCCUCCAAAAUGGCUCCCAAUGAUCCCAACCUUCUGGUAUCCACUCCUUUCUACAGUCCUCUCCCACACCAAAUCAGGGUUGGUUUCUGUAACCAACAGAAUUUGGCAUAAGUGAUGGCAUAUGGCUUCCAAGGCUGAUUUAUAAAAGACAUUGAGGUGUUUCCCUGUUUCUUCAAUCGCCUGCUCUAAAGGGAAGCCAUAGCACAGACAAGCAGACCUAUGGAGAGGGCCAUGUGGUGAGAAACUGAAAACUCUUGCCCAAAGCCAGCAAGCCACAAAGACCUCUUGCCCAUGGCCACGUGGGUGAAUCAUUUUGGAAUCAGAUUAUCCAGCCCCAGUCAAGCCUUCCCUCAGAUGCCUGAAGCCCCUGCUGACAUCUUGUCUACAAACUCAUGAGACCCUGAGCUAGAAACACCCAGCAAAGCUGCCCCCAAAUUUCUGAAACACAAACUGUGAGACAAUAAGCUUUGGGGUAAUUUGUUAUGCAGUAAUAGAUAACUAAUACACAUUAUACUACAGGAAAAAGCUCAAGACACAGAAGGCCAGAUAUGGUGUGAUUCCAUUUAUAUGAAACAUCCGUAACAGGCAAAUCCAAAGAGAUAGAAAGUAGAUUGCUGGUUACCAGGGGCUGGAAGGACAGAGGAAUGGGGAGCAAAUGCUAAUGGGUAUGAGGUUUCUUCUUGGGGUGAAAAUGAAUUGGAUAGUGGUAAUGGGUACAUAAUCUCGUGACUAUACUAAAAACCACUGAAUUGUACACGUUAAAGAAUUUUAUGGCAUAUGGACUGUGAAUUAUAUCUAAAUUACGUGUGUGUGUGUAUGUGUGUAUGUAUUUGGAACAGAGCAGCGGAUGGAAGUUGGAAGGACUUUAAGGAAAGUGUUAAUGAAAACCUGAAGAGCCUUGAAGAAAUUGUUGAGAAGUAUGGCCUUUGAAGAGGCUGCAGGUGUAGUCUUAAGGAAAAAUUGCCAGUCUCCUGUAUGUCUUCCACUUCCCUACUUUUUGAAGAGGACGGUAUCUAGCAAUUAUCCUAUAUCUGCUGUGCUACGGUAUGUUACACAUAUGGGGAGCAAAUAACUACAGUUCACAGGUCUUAAGAGAAACUACUUGAGUUGCUGUACCUAAGGAACUCAUCCCAAGGAGCCCUCAUUCACACUUGCACCUGACCUGAUUUAGAUGAUAAGAUACUGGGCUUUGAGCUGAUGCUAUAUUAAGGUGAAACUUCUGGAGGAUUUGAAAGGAGGUAAGAGUAUUUUGCAUUGGGAAGGACAUAAAUCAUUGGGGACCAGAGGUCAGACUGUGGUACCCAACUUCCAAGUUGACACCCAGUGAUUCCUGCCUCCUAAUAUUCACAAUGUAUAUAAUCUCUUCAACAUUUAUUAGGCCCCAUGUAACCCAUGGAAUUUGGCAAAUGUGAUGGUAUGUGACUUGAGGCUAGUUUAUAAAAGAGUGACUUCUGCCUGGCACUCUCUGUCUCAUCACUUACUCUGCGGGAAGCCAACUACCAUAAGAUACUCAAGCAGCCCUACAGAGAGGUCCAUGUGGUGACAAACUGAGUCCCCUUGCCACCCACCAGCCAGAGAACUGACUCUUGCCAGCAGUCAUGCAAGUAAGCCAUGUGGAAGCAUUUCCUCCAGCCCUGGAGAAUUCUUCAGAUGAUCAUAACACCUUGUCUGCAACCUCAUUAGAGACCGCGCCAGACCCACGUGACUAUAUUGCUCCUGAUUUCCCGAUUCCUUCUCUGAACGUUUCUUUUAAGCUGUAGUGGAUAACUAAUAUACCAUUUCUCAUGCUUUUGUUUCUGCUCUCAUAUUAAAAGGAUAUUUGGGCUGGGCACAGUGUCUCACGCCUGUAAUCCCCAGCACUUUGGCAGGCUGAGGCGGAUGGAUCACCUGAGAUCAAGAGUUCGAGACCAGCCUGGCCAACAUGGCGAAAUGCUGUCUCUAUUAAAAAUUCAAAAAGUGGCUGGGCAUGGUGGUGGGUGCCUGUAAUCCCAGCUACUUGGGAGGCUGAGGCAGGAGAAUCGCUUGAACUCAGGAAGCAGAGGUUGUGGUGAGCCAAGAUCACACCACUGCACUCCAGGCUGGGUAACACAGCAAGAGUCCAUUUCAAAAAAAAAAAAAAAAAAAAAAGAAAAGAAAAAAAACCUCGGAUAUUUGGAGGCUCCUGUUGAAUGAGAUUUUCUCUGUAUUACACAUGCAGAAAGUACAUAUUUUAUCAGAAUAUUUUAUUUCAAGAGUUAACACUUUUUUCAAAAAGUAAAAACAAUAUAA
rnacentral:lncRNA from 1 species